AAUUUAUAUAAAAGAGAAUCCAAUAUCUUAAUUAUUAUUAAUUUAUUUGAUGUGUUUGAAUAAAAUGUAGGAUCUGUGAACAAAAUGACCCAAAAAAUAUGUACCACAAUUUUGAAAAACUUGAAAAUAUAUAACUGCCCUGACAAAAUAUGACAAAAUUAAAGGAAAUUAUAUGGCCGGAGGUGCAAAAACUCAAAAACUACCCAAAUUAACAGUUUUUUUUCUUCUUUCAGCUACAUGGAGAACGAGUAUUUUAGAGCAACGAUUCAGGGAAUAUAGAUUUUAAAGCUUCAGCCCUUCUUUAAAUGUUUCCCAUUGGACUGUACUGAAAUGUGGAGCUCAGCAUGUCUGGAACCAAAGGGAACUUUCUUCUGCUAAUAUCAUAGUAAGUGGGUCAUUUGUAUGCACGACUCUGUUUCUUUCACUGCCACAUCCGACUCUUAAUUUAAGGUUUGUUUUUUUCCAAGUUUGUUUUAGCUGGUCUCGUUUGACCCAACUCCAAACCCCUUGUGUGGCCGCAAAAGUUCUCAGCCUUCCAGUAUAUUGCUGUAUAACAUUUCCAGUGAUGCAUUCUCAUGUGUUUUUACUGCAAAUCUCAUAGAUGAAUGCCUUUGAUUAUUUCAGCACUGGGAGCAUAAGCAUCUCUAAGAGAGUUCACAUUUUUCGAUACUCUCGAUUCCUAUAAUUGCAAAUUACAUCCCAACAAAUAGUGUUUCAUCUCCAAUGACAUAUAUUUCUUUGAGCACAAUCAAAUAUCUGAUAUCUCUGCGAUUGAAUUUUCUUUAUGUUACUUUCACAUUAAUUAUUUUUUAGCUUUUAAGGGGAAUGAACUAAAACAUCGUUCAAAGAAGACUUUGCAAAUAAACAGUAGGGCGACAUAUUUGAGGAAAGUUAAAAGCUGCUGGAAUCUAGUUAUCUAUCCAAGACCCCAAAGUUGAUGUUGUUGUCUUCAAAAUCUUCAAAGUUCACUUUAUGCAAGUUGUCUCCAUAUACAAGAACUUUUGCUAGUGGAAGCCGGAUUUUCUUAUUAAUCAUUGCUCAGAAGACAGACAGCUUCAGUUAUGCAAGAAGAUUUGAAGUCUUCCGGUGUGCACUCUGAGCUUGUAGAAGUCUGAGUGUUAAAUAUGCUGCUCUGGCAGGCAUGCGAUUUCUGUCCCCAGAAUAAUAUCUACACCAAUAAAUUCUCCAUAUUUGCACUCUUUCAAAGCUCUUAGCCGUGCAAGCAGACUAAUUGUUUAAACGUCCGCUUAAGCUUCUGACGAAAAAUUGAAACCAUAGACUAUAGCUAAUUAGAUACUGAGAAGCAUGUUUGGAUUACCUUGCCCAAUCUAUUUCACAUUUAUAAUACUUGUAUAAUAUAUGCAUUUUCUGUAUAAUAUUAUCAGUUUUUAUAUGUUA